UUGAAAUGUGUGAAACAUGUUAUUUUUAAAUCUGACUGACAUAAGCAGUUUCACACAGAGUGAAAUAACAUGUUUCAUAUGUUCCAUAUAUAGAGUGAAAUAAAUUUCGAACACUGAAAUAAGCAGUUUCACACAUAAUAUAUAGAGUGAAAUAAGUUAACUGAAAUGUUGAAAAUUAAAUGUAUUUGAAAUCUAACCAAAAUUGAUCUUGUUCUAAAGGUCUUGACACCCAGAGAUCAACUAUAUAAAAUAUUUCACAUAUGUAAUUUUGGUUUAAAAGAUAUUAACGGUUGAAAUGUCAAAUGAAAUUUAAAUGGGUACCUUUGUUAUGGGGGCCAGAGGAGGAGAGUAUGUCUGAGCCAUGCAUGCAUCGUACUGACAAAAAGUAGCCGACAAGAGUUGACAAGACGUUUCAUACAUGAUGAUGUUCAACAGAAUACAAAAAAAAUACUAGUAUGCAUGUAGACAGCAUGCAUCAAUCUCCAUGAAUUUAAGGGUGGAUUUAGUAUCGGUACAUCCCUGCACCGGUAAAAAGAGGUUUGCGAAGGAACGACUGGCUGCCACUUCCAACCUUGAAGGAUGUGACCGUCGUGAGUAAGGUAAUUGGGACGCGGAGUAUGUGAUCGCGAGCUCACAGGAGCUCGGAAUCACGCCCGUCCAGAAUUGCUACGAGAUUCGUCGCAUUAAAUGCUAUAGACAAUUGGCGGGUCCAUGCCGACGAUGGAAAAUUAGGAUAUACGGCACAAUACGCGUCUGGCAGAUGGGGCAAGGUGGACGGAGGGCUGCACGGCGUCGCCUGUGCGUGCCUGAGCCGUGGCUCGAGCUUGUCGCCGGCGUCCUGAUCCAUGGAUCAGGUACGGUGCUUUCCGCUAGCGCCGGCAGUGCCCGCACUUAAUGCAGUAGUUGGGUCAGUCGUUGGUUACGAGAGUGAAGUUGGAUUCGCCUCUCGUCCCGGUCGAUGAAGAGGUGGAGAUAAUGACUCCGGCGACGGCGACUGGGCGGUGCAGCAACCUCGGACAGGCUCCGGCGACCAUGGAGUUCUUACUGCAGCCGAUAGACAGUAGAACGCUCCUGGAAGAGGUGAAUGAUAACAACGGGGCAAUGGAGCCCGUGCGGUUCCCACUUCCCAGUAUCCGCGGUGGCUGAGGUUGAGGAUCCAGCACCGGCCGCUUCAAGUGCUGACGGGCAGAUCUGCCGGGCGGAGGCAGCAGGCGCGGACAUGGCUCAGUGCUCCGAGCACUCAAUAGAGCAAAUUGACCCAUAAACACCAGGGUGGACGCAAAGAGUGCGUGUAGGUGCUGCUGCUCUAGGAAGGCCUCCUUGCCCGGACAGGGUCACGGCGCUGGAGAAGUCUGUCAGGGAAUUUGUCGAGCAUCCAGGUGACAUAGUUAUGGUGCCAAAGAUUGGAACAAGUUUUGACACGCUCGGAGAAGCUUAUGACUUUUACAAUUUAUACUCCUGGGAGAAAUGAUUUGGAAUACGAUAUGGAAAGAGCAGGCUAAACGUUAGCAGUACUAAGUGUAUGCAAGAGAUAGUCCGUGG